GCCAGAUCUAGCAGCAAAUGGUGCACACGGGAAUAUGUAAGGUUGUGUGUACAUUGUGUUUAGGUUACCUCCUCGUAGCUGAAGGCGGAGCUCCCUCUGAUCGUUGUAGGCCUGCAUUGCGCGCUCCCGGUAAUUCCGGUACUCCUCCAUCAUCAGCCGACGCUUGUCCACCAGCUCCUGCACAGGCAAGUGGAACCCUUCACCAUUGCCCUCACCUUGACCCCUUGACCUUACCUGUGUUCCCUUGGGUGUGCGGUCCACCUUGACGCACAGGUAGUCUCCGUUGCGCUGCCAGUGCAGCUUGCAGUCCACCACGUUGAAGAGGUUCCUGACGCGGAUCUCCUGACGCGAGGGCAGUUGCAUCAGUGUCACGCGCGCCGGGAUGUCCUUAUCCUCCGGGACCCAGAACGCAAUGAUGUUGUCACCCGGCGACCACGAGAAAUCCCUUCAAUAAAAGAAAUGCACCACU